rnacentral:rRNA from 1 species
UAUGGAGGGUGCAAGCGUUGUCCGGAUUUAUUGGGUUUAAAGGGUGCGUAGGCGGCCUUAUAAGUCAGUGGUGAAAACCUGCAGCUUAACUGUAGACGUGCCAUUGAUACUGUAGGGCUUGAGUACAGAUGAGGUAGGCGGAAUUGAAGGUGUAGCGGUGAAAUGCAUAGAUAUCUUCAAGAACACCGAUAGCGAAGGCAGCUUACUAAGGUGUAACUGACGCUGAGGCACGAAAGUGUGGGGAUCAAACAGG